CUGGGGCCUCGGCCUUGGAUUGUAGCCUCUAGACAUAGUGCCAACGGAGGCGCAGGUGCAAGCCUCUUGGAAAAGAGCAUCAAUGUGGGUGAGAAUCCUGUGUUUCACUUGCAGUCCACCGUGCACGGCACAUGUUCUCAGAGUCGCGUUCCUCGGAAUUGGAGCGUAAAGUGGGUGGUAAAUUUCAUCUAAAGCUAAAUAUAGGCUUGAGACCGAUAGCAAACAAGUACCAUGAGGGAAAGAUGAAAAGGACUUUGAAAAGAGAGUUAAAAGUGCUUGAAAUCGCUGAAAGGGAAGCGAAUGGAACCAGUCUUCUGGCUGAGAUUGUUGCGUGCUACUGUGAUGCCUGGCUGCUUCAACGCAAGUGUUGUAGUUAGAGUUGAUCAGCUGUGCGUGAUGUUUCUCAGCUUGUUAGUCAACCUUUGUUCGUGCUUGGGGAUAACUGCAGGUACCAUGCUCUUCCCUGCGGGGUUGAUCUCGUGCUUGUUAGGACUCAGGUGUGUACACUUGGUGACAAAUGGUUCUCUUCGACCCGUCUUGAAACACGGACCAAGGAGUCUAGCACAUGUGCAAGUUCACAGGUGGCAAGCCUGCUUGCCCAAUGAAGGUGACUGCUGGGAUAUUUGCACCAGCAACCGACCAAUCAAUNGAAAGAAGUUUGAGUAUGAGCAUAUGUGUUAGG
rnacentral:rRNA from 1 species